CCUACGGGUGGCAGCAGUGGGGAAUAUUGGACAAUGGGCGAAACCUGAUCCAGCCAUGCCGCGUGUGUGAAGAGGUCUUCGGAUUGUAAGCACUUUAAGUUGGGAGGCGUUACCGACAGAAUAAGCACCGGCUAACUCUGUGCCAGCAGCCGCGGUAAUACAGAGGGUGCAAGCGUUAAUCGGAAUUACUGGGCGUAAAGCGCGCGUAGGUGGUUUGUUAAGUUGAAUGUGAAAUCCCCGGGCUCAACCUGGGAACUGCAUCCAAAACUGGCAAGCUAGAGUAUGGUAGAGGGUGGUGGAAUUUCCUGUGUAGCGGUGAAAUGCGUAGAUAUAGGAAGGAACACCAGUGGCGAAGGCGACCACCAGGACUGAACUGACACUGAGGUGCGAAAGCGUGGGGAGCAAACAGGAUUAGAUACCCUUGUAGUC
rnacentral:rRNA from 1 species